GACGAACGCUGGCGGCGUGGAUUAGGCAUGCAAGUCGAACGGUAUCAUCCUUUCGGGGGUGAGAGAGUGGCGAACUGGUGAGUAACACGUAGGUUAUCUACCCUCAAGACGGGGACAACCCAGGGAAACUUGGGCUAAUACCGGAUGUGAGCAACUUUUAGUUGUUUGAAAGGUGGCGUAAGCUGUCGCUUGGGGAUGAGCCUGCGUCCUAUUAGUUAGUUGGUGAGGUAACGGCUCACCUAGGCAAUGAUAGGUAGGCGGCCUUAACGGGUGGUCGCCCACACUGGGGAUUGAGAUACGGCCCAGACUCCUACGGGAGGCAGCAGUCGAGAAUAGUCUACAAUGGUCGGAAGACUGAUAGUGCGACGCCGCGUGAACGAUGAAUCCCUUCGGGGUGUAAAGUUCUUUUAUAUGUGAGCAGUGCUUCUUAUAUUUAACAGUUAUGGGGAGAGAGAUAUUAGCAUAUGAAUAAGCAACGGCUAACUCCGUGCCAGCAGCCGCGGU
rnacentral:rRNA from 1 species